ensembl:lncRNA
GCCACCCCUGGCACUGUGCAGCUAUCUGUUACAAAUGAAUGGGAAAAUUCAAGGAUGUUGUAAUUGGUAAGUUGUGAUGUCAAAAGUAUCUGUACCAAGUUGAUACUAAAAUUUUAAAAAGAAUGAUACGAUCAGUUUUUUUUUUCAGUACCGGCUGUACCAAGUAUUCUCCUGCUUUCUGAUUGACUUUCUUUUCCAUGCUGAGGGAGGUGUUGACUAAAUUAGAGAUGGUGCUGGACCAACAAACCACUGAGCUUGCUUCAACUACAGGUGUUCCAGGUGCAGUCUUUGGAUACUGAUGAAGAUUUACUGCCCUGCAAGAUCUUCCUCAACUGCAUAGUCUGGAGCGAAGGAUGCAACAGAGCCCAGAUUACAAGCAAAAACUGGUGACACACUCGUACUCAAAGCACAACAUUCAACACCACUUUGAUAUGAGGGAACAGUUAUGACCUAAUCUUUGGUAGAGGAGCAAAACAUGGAAAACACACAGGGCAGGGUACCUGCAGGAGUAGUGAGAAG